GUGGGGAAUUUUGGACAAUGGGGGCAACCCUGAUCCAGCCAUGCCGCGUGCGGGAAGAAGGCCUUCGGGUUGUAAACCGCUUUUAGUCGGGAAGAAAAGGCGUCGUCUAAUAAACGGCGUUCUUGACGGUACCGGCGGAAUAAGCACCGGCUAACUACGUGCCAGCAGCCGCGGUAAUACGUAGGGUGCGAGCGUUAAUCGGAAUUACUGGGCGUAAAGCGUGCGCAGGCGGUUCGUUAAGUUCGAUGUGAAAGCCCCGGGCUCAACCUGGGAACUGCAUUGGAAACUGGCGAGCUUGAGUGUGGCAGAGGGGGGUGGAAUUCCGCGUGUAGCAGUGAAAUGCGUAGAGAUGCGGAGGAACACCGAUGGCGAAGGCAGCCCCCUGGGCCAACACUGACGCUCAGGCACGAAAGCGUGGGGAGCAAACAGGAUUAGAAACCCCUGUAGUCC
rnacentral:rRNA from 1 species